rnacentral:rRNA from 1 species
UACGUAGGGGGCAAGCGUUGUCCGGAUUUAUUGGGCGUAAAGAGCGUGUAGGCGGCCUGACAGGUCUGCUGUGAAAACUCGAGGCUCAACCUCGAGAUGUCGGCGGAAACCGUCUGGCUAGAGUCCGGAAGAGGAGAGUGGAAUUCCUGGUGUAGCGGUGAAAUGCGCAGAUAUCAGGAAGAACACCAAUGGCGAAGGCAGCUCGCUGGGACGGUACUGACGCUGAGGCGCGAAAGCGUGGGGGAGCAAACAGG